CCUACGGGAGGCAGCAAUGAGGGAUAUUGGUCAAUGGGGGAAACCCUGAACCAGCAACGCCGCGUGAGGGAAGACGGUUUUCGGAUUGUAAACCUCUGUCCGCGGGGAAGAGAAUGACGGUAGCAGAGGAGGAAGCUCCGGCUAACGACGUGCCAGCAGCCGCGGUAAUACGUAGGGAGCGAGCGUUGUCCGGAUUUACUGGGGGUAAAGGGUGCGUAGGCGGGUAUGCAAGUCAGAAGUGAAAUCCCUGGGCUUAACCCAUGAACUGCUUUUGAAACUGUUUAUCUUGAGUGAAGGAGCGGUAGGCGGAAUUCCCGUUGUAGCGGUGACAUGCGUA
rnacentral:rRNA from 1 species